UACGGCAACAUCACGUUGAAACACCAGUUCCCGUACGAUCAGCGAAGUUAAACAACGUUGAACAUGGCCAGUACCUAGAUGGGUGACCACGUGGGAAUACAAGGUGCUGUAAG